CAGGAAGGGAAAAGAGGGUCAAAACCCUAGUUUCUUCAAAAUCUUCAAAUUGAAAGGCAAGAUGAAGCUUUAACUCAUAACCGAGCAUAGAUUAAUGAUCACCUUCACAAGGGGAUCGCAAGGAAUCAUGUCGAGACGGAAUCAAGCACGGAAGGCUAACGGGUCAAGAAGUGGCGAAGAAACAAAUAUGAAUACGGAUGCACGAGGAACGAGAAUAUCGGAUUCUUACGAAAUUUAAGCUCUACCUGAAAUAAGAGGAUGAGUGCCACACGGACUUCUUCUGCUACUUAGAAAGUGAAGCGGA